UUGGGAGUACCAAGAUGGCGGCGGAUGGCUUCAACCAGUCGACAUACCGCUCGAUGUGUCAGCACUAUCCAGUCUUAUUUUUUUUUCGGUCAGUGGUUUGGUUGAAAAUAGCCACCCCUUGAGCAUUUCAUUUUUCUUCAAACGAUAGAUCAAUAACUUGAGUAAACCUUUGGAACAUUUCCAAAAUUGUGUCAAGUUCCGUUGUGCCACUUUUUUUGUGGUGUGGCUCACAAGUGAAAUGAUUGCAGAGGGCCAGUCUCCGGAGUUAUGAAGUGGCAGUCCGGAAGAGACCACUGCAAGGCCAGGGUGUCGGAGGGUGGCGUGGCCAGCGUGCACGGCUUUGGGGCAGUCCGGCGUCAGAACGCGGCCGUUCUCCCCCACGCUUCCUGUGAUGGACAGACGGGCCUUGUUCCGCAUGGCUUCAGAAAAAGACAGCUGGAUGAGGAAAUGCAGGACAGAGCAAAUCUAUUUUAUGCAAAUGCCAUGGAGGUGAACUGUAUCUGUGCAAGACGUGUCACACUGAGAUCCAGAUUGCUGGUGUACAGUGUUAACCAGGGAUGUCGCCUGCUGAUGGAGCCCUCGUCCCCUCCUGCUGCUUCGCUAUACCCCUCCGGCUAGUCUCAACCUGUGCGCGUGUGUGUGUAGCAACUUUCCUACAAGCCUCCUGCUCACACCCCUGUAGGGAUUGUGACCUCCAAACAAAAAUCAGGGACGCUGGGCUGUAUUUUGGAUUUUAAAUUGAGUCUGAAAUGGGAGGUUUUUGUUAUUACCUCGGAAUACUUCACGUAGUAUUGUCUGAAGGAAUUUGCUAUUUUUUUUUGUUUUUGGGGUAUGCACCCGUACAACUGUACCUUUUUUUUUUUCAUCGACUAAAAUGUCCUAUAGAGUAAUUGUGAAUAAAUAUUAAAAAGGCUUGGAAAUGUUUGAGAAGUUUUGCAAUUUGUCCAAACUUACCACUAGUGGGCUUUACAUAGAUUUUGUCGACGUACUCAUCAUAGAUGCUUUCAUGAAUCCCGGAGAAUAGUGCUUAACUAGUUCUACAUCUGUUGGCAUAGAUGAAUGGCUUGAGAAAAAACUAUUAUUGCACCGUUCCAGAUUCCAGAUACUUGUGUGUUGUAUUCCUCUUCGCGUUGACUCUGCUGCCAGCUAUUUGAGCUCUCUAGUUUCUGCCAUCAUGGCAGCUAUGUCGGAAUGUUGCCAUAUUCAACAUGGCGACCACAUAAUCAUGUCUGUUUUAUCCGGGGUCCGUUACGUCGAGAUUCCAGGGUAUGUCAAAUUCUCAACCCGUUUAUAUCUCUGCAAAAGUGGAUGCGCAUUCACCGCGUCUUCGCCCAUUGUUGGUCUGGCAUGCACAAAGAUGGCAGCAAACAUGUUUUUCCGUUUAAUUGGUCGAUCAUGUAAAUAUUCCCUUAAUCCCACGGUUUUUUUUUUUUUUUUUUGGCUCACUCGACCAUAUGUUUGCAAUUUUCAUCUGAUUUGAGAGCCCCUUGAAAAAGCCCAUUAGCUCAAUGCUGCAAAUAUGACAAUACUGUUUUCUCGGGUCCGUGAGUCACAUCCCGUUCGAAUCAUAAUUGCUUUUCUUUCUCUGCGGUCGGGCAUGAGACUACUCGGUCUGUCUCACAGUCAGGUUUUCUGUUUAGUUGCUACAUGUAAAUGUAUUGCUGGUAUUUUAUGAUUAUUUAUAGUUUCGUGUGUGUUCAUGCACAAGUAAAGAGAGUUCAGAGAUAUUGAUCAAGACAGUGUUCUCUGGGGUGGUCUAAUCUACAAGCUAUGACAGUGGUUCCCAAAGUGGGGUCCACGGACCCCCAGGGGGUGAAAAACGUCUUUCCAGGGGGUCCGCGACACAAUGUCUGAGACAGAGUAAUAAUAAUAUAUUUUUCUGAAGAAAAGAACAAAAAUAUCCAGCUGCAUUUGAAAGCACCGCGGGGAAGUUUUGACCGCUAUUUUAGACCUGAUGAAUUGUCUGGAAAAGAAGAAUCAUGGGUUCAAGAUCCUUUUGGCUUCAAUCUUGACACAAACUCAUCGAACUCCGUCAUUCAGAAGCCAUCCGUCAACAAUUUGGGAACGAGUCAAACAGCACUUUUUGCUGCGAGGGGUUGGAACUGUUCCCAAAACUCGCCAAUACUAUGUUCCCUCCGUUACUACGUACAAGUGUGAAGGGCUUUUCAACUCUAUUAGUUGUGAAGACCAAAAAAAACACAAAAUCGUCUGGAAGCUAAUCAUGAUGUGAGAAUUGCCCUUUCCAGUGUUGAACCACGUUUAGAUUUAUUGUGUAAAAAUAAAAAGCGAGAACACGUGAGCCACUAAAAUGGAAUAUUUCUUUGUACCAGAACGGCAGAGCUGUGUCCAGCACUACAUUAUUGGCGAAUGUUGAGGUUGGGGGUCCGGGCCCAGGUUGACUUUGGGAACCACUGAGCUGUGAUUUGAUGAUUCGAGAAAUGAAAAGCAGUUUAUAAACAGUCACAUGUCAUUAUUCAAAGCCAGACUUCAAAAUGCAACAAUCAUCGGAGAACUUUUGUUGUUCACCGACAUGACAGACAGACACUAUGAGGAGAGGCAACCUCACAUUCAUGCUCCCAGACACGUUUUCCAU